AUCUCACUGCUGAAGUUCUAAGUGCUUUGAGAUGAAGAAUGUUCGCUUGAACACAUUGUGGCCUCUGACCUUUCUUCCCACACACGACUCUGUCCUGCAGCUGGAAGGCUUCCUGCUGCGACUGGGCCACAGGCACCACAAACUUCUGGAUAUUCCACCGAGUCAUCCACGUGGUCAGGAGUGUGGCUGGGAAACUCUAGCAGGCAGAGAAUUCCGGCAGGGCUUGGAUAACCGUGCCCCACACAGCAUGGUGCUCAGCAAAAGCCGCCAAAGUGAAGGAAUCAUUGUGGAUGGGCCGGGGAUUUAGCUCAGUGGUUCCGCCACCUGCCUCGCAAGCGCAAGGACCUGAGUUCGAUCUCCGGUACCAAAAAUAAAGAAAGAAAAAUCAUAUCAUUGUGGAGUACAAGUACACUGUCCAGAAAACUUACCAUUCCACAAAAGCACAAAGCAGAAAGAACAAUAGAAUGAAAACCAAAAAUCAAAUCAAAAGAUCUGAACAAAGGACACAUACAGAAAAAUCACAGAGGAACUGUAAAUGGCUAAAGAAUAUUCUAGUCACUCAGACUUAAGUGCAAAUUAAUAUAAUGAUGGGCCACUUUUGAAUGAGCAUGUGUAUUGUUUAGAAAAUAGGAAAAGUUAAAAAAUGAUAAUAAUGCAGGGAUAAAUGAUGUUAGGUAUUCACUUAGAUUUCAGGAAGAAGUGUGAAUAGCUAUGAAUUUUAUAAAAAAUUGCCUGGCAUUGUGUGUCAAGAAGUGAGAAAAUGUCCACAACUAGAUGAUCCUUAAGAUUCUGAUUACGAUUUCAUGACUAAAUCUUAGACCAAACCUGAUUCAUCACACUGAUUCUUCACUAUAGAAGAGUAUUUAUGACAAAGUAGCAGUAUAUUUUUUGAGGGAAAAGUACUGGUAGCAGAAAUAGUGAGGUAUCAUUACUACUCUUGAAAUUAGUGCCAAUAUUUCCUCCCCCCAAAUUAAUCAGUCCGAUGAUCAAUCUAGAAAAUGUUUCUGACAACACAGUUGUAUUUAUUUAUUUAUUUGAUAUAGAGCAAAAUAAGCUAAAAACCCGGAAGACCAAUUGCCAAUUAAGUACUAGCAUGCUCAGUACUGAGACCAAAUUAUUCCCUACCUUAUUUUACCAACUUGCUUUUAUAUCACUCAAGUUUAUGCCAUCAGAUUGCUUUGCUUUUAAAAUGCAUUUGGCCAACCCUCAAAAUUAAAUCAUAUCAAUAAUUUAUAGCCAUUAUAAUAAUGACAGAGCUUCAGUUACAUUAUAAUCUUUUGACCAAGGUACUUUCCAAUGAUUGGCUUUUGCAGGAAAGCCUAUGACACUGGAUUUGGUGUAAUUCCAUUUAUUAUUAUUAUUAUUAUUGUUAUUAUUUUUUUUUUCGUACCAGGGAUGGAACUUGGGUCCUUGUGCUUACGGGGCAAGUGGCGGAACCACUGAGCUUAAUCUCUGGCCCUUCCAUUUAUUAUUUUAACACAACCUAUGUUGUACUGUAUUGUGGAACCUAAAGUGCAUGUAACAAUGAAAUGAUUUUUUUUUCAAUUUAAAUUUAGGACUAAACACAAAAUAUCAAUCCCAAUUAUACUAAUAAGUACAACCUGUGUAUGUAUUUGGUGAGACUGGUGGAGUUCAUUUGCUUUUAGAUUUUUAUUUGAUGGACAAAUAGGAAGGACUGCUCUGGGGCUAAAAAGUCAUUAAAGUUCUGCAUUGCAAAAGCCACACACCUGUCAGUCACCAAUGAUCCUUUCCCAACCUGCUGUGGUUUCAUUUUGCCUCAGUGAGAUUUGAGCCUGGUUCCUCUUUCCAGUGUGCCCUACAGGGUCAGUGGAUCCUCCUCAGGGGGCUCACUUUCUGCUUCUGCUAG
rnacentral:lncRNA from 1 species